CCUCAGUAACGGCGAGUGAAGCGGUAACAGCUCAAAUUUGAAAGCUAGCUCUUUUAGGGUUCGCAUUGUAAUUUGUAGAAGAUGCUUCGGGUGUGGCCCCGGUCUAAGUUCCUUGGAACAGGACGUCAUAGAGGGUGAGAAUCCCGUAUGUGACUGGGUGCUUUCGCUCAUGUGAAGCUCUUUCGACGAGUCGAGUUGUUUGGGAAUGCAGCUCAAAAUGGGUGGUAAAUUUCAUCUAAAGCUAAAUAUUGGCCAGAGACCGAUAGCGCACAAGUAGAGUGAUCGAAAGAUGAAAAGCACUUUGGAAAGAGAGUUAAACAGUACGUGAAAUUGUUGAAAGGGAAGCGCUUGCAACCAGACUUGCGCGCUGAUGAUCAUCCGGGCUUCUGCCCGGUGCACUCGUCUGCGCUCAGGCCAGCAUCGGUUUCGGUGGUGGGAUAAAGGCCUUGGGAAUGUAGCUUCUUUCGGGGAGUGUUAUAGCCCUCGGUGCAAUGCCGCCUACCGGGACCGAGGACCGCGCUUCGGCUAGGAUGCUGGCGUAAUGGUUGUAAGCGACCCGUCUUGAAACACGGACCAAGGAGUCUAACAUCUAUGCGAGUGUUUGGGUGUCAAACCCAUACGCGUAAUGAAAGUGAACGGAGGUGAGAACCCUUAAGGGUGCAUCAUCGACCGAUCCUGAUGUCUUCGGAUGGAUUUGAGUAAGAGCAUAGCUGUUGGGACCCGAAAGAUGGUGAACUAUGCGUGAAUAGGGUGAAGCCAGAGGAAACUCUGGUGGAGGCUCGCAGCGGUUCUGACGUGCAAAUCGAUCGUCAAAUUUGCGUAUAGGGGC
rnacentral:rRNA from 1 species